rnacentral:rRNA from 1 species
CACGUAGGGCGCAAGCGUUGUCCGGAAUUAUUGGGCGUAAAAGAGCUCGUAGGUGGUUUGUUACGUCCGCUGUGAAAUCCUAGGGCUUAACCCUGGGCUUGCAGUGGAUACGGGCAGACUAGAGUGUGGUAGGGGAGACUGGAAUUCCUGGUGUAGCGGUGAAAUGCGCAGAUAUCAGGAGGAACACCGAUGGCGAAGGCAGGUCUCUGGGCCAUAACUGACGCUGAGACGCGAAAGCGUGGGUAGCAAACAGG